CCGUGCUAGAUGGGGAACCAGCGGUGCCCUGUAGCCCGCAAACCGCUAUAACGGGGUCGAAUCCCCGCCCGAGGUGCUCUGCAUGUAGCGCAGGGCUAUCUUUGGAGCGUUGAAGACCAUAGGUCCCGUGCAACGCGCAGCUGUGAACCCUGUCAGGUCCUGACGGAAGCAGCAGUAAGCGGCGCGGCGCGUGUGCCGCGGGGAUGCCUGAUCGGAGCUUUCAAAGAUCAGUUUCCGGCUGUAUACGGGCAUCAGAGGCGGGUGCACGG
rnacentral:SRP_RNA from 1 species